rnacentral:rRNA from 1 species
UACGCAGGGUGCAAGCGUUGUCCGGAAUUAUUGGGCGUAAAGAGCUCGUAGGCGGUUUGUCGCGUCUGCUGUGAAAACUCGGGGCUUAACCCUGGGCCUGCAGUGGGUACGGGCAGACUAGAGUGCGGUAGGGGAGACUGGAAUUCCUGGUGUAGCGGUGAAAUGCGCAGAUAUCAGGAGGAACACCGGUGGCGAAGGCGGGUCUCUGGGCCGUAACUGACGCUGAGGAGCGAAAGCGUGGGGAGCGAACAGG